rnacentral:rRNA from 1 species
UACGACAAGUAGGGCGGGACACGAGAAAUCCUGUCUGAACAUGGGGGGACCAUCCUCCAAGGCUAAAUACUCCUGAUUGACCGAUAGUGAACCAGUACCGUGAGGGAAAGGCGAAAAGAACCCCUGUGAGGGGAGUGAAAUAGAUCCUGAAACCGUGUACGUACAAUCAGUGGGAGCUGUUACCGUUGGGUAAUAGUGACUGCGUACCUUUUGUAUAAUGGGUCAGCGACUUAUAUUCUGUAGCAAGGUUAACCGAAUAGGGGAGCCGAAGGGAAACCGAGUAUUAACUGUGCGUUAAGUUGCAGGGUAUAGACCCGAAACCCGGUGAUCUAGCCAUGGGCAGGUUGAAGGUUGGUUAACACUAACUGGAGGACCGAACCGACUAAUGUUGAAAAAUUAGCGGAUGACCUGUGGCUGGGGGUGAAAGGCCAAUCAAACCGGGAGAUAGCUGGUUCUCCCCGAAAGCUAUUUAGGUAGCGCCUCAUGUAUAACUGUUGGGGGUAGAGCACUGUUUCGGCUAGGGGGCCAUCCCGGCUUACCAACCCGAUGCAAACUCCGAAUACUGACAAGUUUAAUCAUGGGAGACACACGGCGGGUGCUAACGUUCGUCGUGAAGAGGGAAACAACCCAGACCGCCAGCUAAGGUCCCAAAGUCAUAGUUAAGUGGGAAACGAAGUGGGAAGGCUUAGACAGCUAGGAUGUUGGCUUAGAAGCAGCCACCAUUUAAAGAAAGCGUAAUAGCUCACUGAUCGAGUCGUCCUGCGCGGAAGAUGUAACGGGGCUAAGCCAGUCACCGAAGCUGCGGAUAUUUUUCUCUUUGCUUGCAUCGAGAUCAAUAUGGUAGGAGAGCGUUCUGUAAGCCUGCGAAGGUGUCUUGUGAAGGAUGCUGGAGGUAUCAGAAGUGCGAAUGCUGACAUGAGUAGCGAUAAUGCGGGUGAAAAGCCCGCACGCCGUAAGCCCAAGGUUUCCUGUUCAACGUUCAUCGGAGCAGGGUGAGUCGGCCCCUAAGGCGAGGCAGAGAUGCGUAGCUGAUGGGAAGCAGGUUAAUAUUCCUGCACCGUCGUAUGAUGCGAUGGGGGGACGGAUCGCGGAAGGUUGUCCAACUGUUGGAAUAGUUGGUUUCUGGUUCAUAGAAGGCGCUUAGGCAAAUCCGGGCGCGGAAUUCAAGGGACUGGGACGAGCGGCAAUAUGGUCGCGAAGCAAUCGGAAGUGGUUCCAAGAAAAGCCUCUAAGCUUCAGUCAUACGAGACCGUACCGCAAACCGACACAGGUGGGCGAGAUGAGUAUUCUAAGGCGCUUGAGAGAACUCGGGAGAAGGAACUCGGCAAAUUGGUACCGUAACUUCGGGAAAAGGUACGCCCCGGUAGCUUGACCACUUUACUGUGGAAGGGCGAAAGGGUUGCAAUAAACUGGUGGCUGCGACUGUUUAAUAAAAACACAGCACUCUGCAAACACGAAAGUGGACGUAUAGGGUGUGACGCCUGCCCGGUGCUGGAAGAUUAAAUGAUGGGGUGCAAGCUCUUGAUUGAAGUCCCAGUAAACGGCGGCCGUAACUAUAACGGUCCUAAGGUAGCGAAAUUCCUUGUCGGGUAAGUUCCGACCUGCACGAAUGGUGUAACGAUCUGGGCACUGUCUCAACCAUGAGCUCGGUGAAAUUGUAGUAUCGGUGAAGAUGCCGAUUACCCGCAAUGGGACGAAAAGACCCUGUGAACCUUUACUAUAGCUUCGUAUUGACUUCGGGUAAAUGAUGUGUAGGAUA